rnacentral:rRNA from 1 species
GGCCAAGUUACAAAGGGUUGACGGUGGAUGCCUUGGCAGAUGACAGCGAUGAAGGACGUGGUAAGCUGCGAAAAGUCUCGGGGAGUUGCACGCGAACGGUGAUCCGGGAAUGUCCGAAUGGGGAAACCCGUCUGGGUGAAAGCUCAGUCAUCCCGAAGCUGAAUUCAUAGGCUUCGGGAAGCGAACGUGGGGAAGUGAACCAUCUCAGUACCCACAGGAACAGAAAACAACAGUGAUUCCGGUAGUAGCGGCGAGCGAAACCGGAAGAGCCCAAACCUCAUACGUGUAAGCGGCAGGCGUUGCGUAUGGGGGGUCGUGGGACCUACAGGUCAGGGCUGCCCCCUGGCACAGAGUUACAAAACCUCUAGUUAGCGGAACGGCAUGGAAAGGCCGGCGAUACAGGGUGAUAGCCCCUUAUGCGAAAGCUACGAGGACUCUGAGUGGUGUUCCCAAGUAUGUCGGGGCACGAGAAACCUUGACAGAAUUUGCCGCGACCAUGCGGUAAGGCUAAAUAUGUUCAUCUGACCGAUAGUGAACCAGUACCGUGAGGGAAAGGCGAAAAGAACCCCGAUGAGGGGAGUGAAAUAGAACCUGAAACCGUCAAUCUACAAGCAGUGGAACCCCUAUGGUUUACCAGGGGAACCGCGUGCCUUUUGCAUAAUGAGCCGGCUAGUUAUUUUCAGUGGCGAGGCGAAGCCGAUGAGGCGGUGCCGUAGGGAAACCGAGUCUGAAUAGGGCGACCAGUCGCUGGAAAUAGACGCGAAACGGGAUGAUCUAUCCUUGACCAGGAUGAAGGUAGGGUGAAACCUAUUGGAGGUCCGAACCAGUGUGGGUUGAAAACCGCUUGGAUGAGUUGAGGAUAGGGGUGAAAGGCCAAUCAAAUUCCGUGAUAGCUCGUUCUCCCCGAAAUAGCUUUAGGGCUAGCGUCGGAUGUUUCGUCGUGCAGGUAGAGACCUGAAUGGACUAGGGGGCUUACCAGCUUACUGAAUCCAACCAAUCUUCGAAUGGCACGCCGUGAAGUCCGGCAGUCAGACUGCGGGUGAUAAGAUCCGUAGUCGAGAGGGAAAGAACCCAGAUCGCCAGCUAAGGUCCCAAAAUACAUGCUAAGUGGAAAAGGAUGUGGAUGUGCUUAGACAGCCAGGAGGUUAGCUUAGAAGCAGCUAUCCUUUAAAGAAAGCGUAAUAGCUCACUGGUCAAGCGGGUCUGUGCCGACAAUUCAACGGGGCUAAAGCAUGUUACCGAAGCUGCGAACGUAAGUGGUAGGGGAGCAUUCCCUACGUCUGUGAAGGUUGACCGUAAGGACAGCUGGAGACAUGGGAAGAGACUCUGUCGGCAUAAGUAGCGUAAAGACGGGCGAGAACCCCGUCCGCCGUAAGACUAAGGUUUCCAACGCAAGGUCAAUCCGCGUUGGGUUAGUCGGACCCUAAGCCGAGGCCGAAAGGCGUAGGCGAUGGAAGGCUGGUUAAUAUUCCAGCACCAUGAGCAUCUCGUUUGUACGAUGCAGGGACGCAGGAAGGUAGGGACGCAGAGCUAUGGAAUGUUCUGCGAAAGGAUCCAAGGGUGGUGCUUAGGGAAGUCCGGGCGCCAUGAGCUCAAGGUUUCUGACGAAAAGUCCUGAUCCUACACUGCCGAGAAAAGCUGCUAAGGAGAGGUGCUUGUGUCCGUACCGCAAACCGACACAGGUAGUCGAGGAGAGAAUCCUCAGGCGUUUGAGAGAACUCUGCUGAAGGAACUCGGCAAAUUAACCCCGUAACUUCGGGAGAAGGGGUACCACGGUAGGGUUCAUAGCCCGAGGUGGUGGCACAUAAAUGUUCCAGGCGACUGUUUAACAAAAACACAGGUCUCUGCAAACUCCAAAGAGGAGGUAUAGGGGCUGACGCCUGCCCGGUGCCGGAAGGUCAAGAGGAGUGGUCAGCGCAAGCGAAGCUACGAAUUUAAGCCCCGGUGAACGGCGGCCGUAACUAUAACGGUCCUAAGGUAGCGAAAUUCCUUGUCGGGUAAGUUCCGACCUG